AGGUUAGUAUUUAAAAUUUAUAAAAUCUAAUUUGCACUUAGAAAUUGUGUCCCACCUAGCCUU
rnacentral:tRNA from 1 species